AUGGAUACUGUCAAAUCUGCGUUAGUGGAAUUCAAAAGCCAUUCUGCAUCAAGUUAUGGAGGUUUAUUCUCUGCUGGGGUCACGACGCAUCCCAACGGUCACGACGCAUCCGACGCAUCCAAAUCCACCGAGACGCACUACGCUAGAGCGGACCUUCUGGAGCUUGAACUCGCUUGCCAGACAGUUGAUUUAUCACCCGAACAACUGGAUUUCAUACCAUCAACACUGAUAAAGAAGACAAUACGGAGGAAAAGAGGAUCGAGAGGAGGAAUUAGGAACAGGAUUAGGAGACGAGGUAGUAAGCUCGUUGCCAGGGCGGCGCGCAUAGUCGCAGCGGCCCCUCUUGAGAUCUGUGAGAUUGAGAUUGAAUGUUUGAGUGUGAGACGUCCUACAAACAUAGUUUAUGACAGGGAAACAUUAUUAAACAUUAGGACAUUGAAAGCGAGUGACAUCACUGGCAUUCGCUGGCAUCUGGACAUAUUACGCAAACACAGGAUACUAACGGAUACUGUGACACUGUGCCCGCAACUGCCCGGAGGAGGAAGCAGCAGAGACGGGGUGGACGUAAACAAAACAAAACGUAUCAAAACAAAACGUAAACUAAAGCGGGGAAAGAGGGCUGGCAUCAAAGCUAGGCUAAAAACUAAACACACCAGACCAGCAGUGCCAACAAUCCUACUCUCCAACGUCCGAUCUCUCGAAAACAAACUGGAUGAGCUCCGUCUGAUGAGAGGAUCAGUCAAGGUAUGGAGAGACUGCUGUCUAUUCAUUUUUACCGAAUCCUGGUUACAUGAAAACAUUCCGGACGAGGCUGUUCAGCUAGAGGGAACAACACUCUUCAGAGCUGACAGAGACGCGGCGAGUUCCGGUAACAGCAGAGGCGGGGGGCUAUGCAUUUAUAUCAACAAAGACUGGUGUGUAAACGCUGCGUCGGUGGCUCAACACUGCUCUGAACUGGUGGAAUUUUCUAUAGUGAUCUGUCGGCCAUUCUACCUGCCAAGGGAAUUCACCAGUGUGAUUGUAGUAGCUGUUUACAUAGCCCCUUGCGCCAACGCCAAUGCUUACGAAGUACUCCGCCCCCUGUUUGACGUCAUCAGCGCACUGUUGACAAAACACCCGGACAGCUUUGUGGUUGUUGCAGGAGACUUCAACCACAUUAGCUUAAAGACUGUGCUCCCCGGAUUCAAGCAAUAUGUGGACUUUAAAACAAGAGGAGAAAAUAUACUUGAUUUGGUCUAUUCCAACACUGCUGAGGCAUAUAAGGCCAUUCCUCAACCCCAUAUUGGCCUUUCAGACCAUAAAUCUGUGCUGAUGGUUCCAACUUACAAACCCAGGCUGAUACGAAGUAGGGCAACCCAGUCACACAUCAGGGUGUGGCCAGAUGGAGCAGUCUCAGCGCUGCAGGACUGUUUUAAAUGCACUAACUGGGAGAUUUUUAAAACCGCUGCAUCUCAGGGUGAUCAUCAUAUUAACAUUGAAGAAUAUGCUGAAACGGUGAUGAGCUACAUUGCCAAGUGCACAGAGGAUGUUACUGUGAUGAAGACCUAUAUAGUACGGAACAACCAAAAACCCUGGAUGACUGCUGAGGUACGUCAGCUGUUAAAGGCUCGGGAUGCUGCGUACAGUGGAGGAGACAAGGCCGCACUCUGCUCAGCCAGAUCAGCUCUCUCCAGAGGGAUCAGAGCAGCCAAAAGACGCCAUGCAGGGAUAAUCAAGGAGAACCUCUGUAGCACAGGAAACACCAGGCAAAUGUGGCAGGGGGUUCAACAAAUCACUCAGUACAAGACCAGGCAGAGGAUUGAGGACAGUGAUGUUUCUCUCCCUGACAGACUCAAUGACUUUUUUGCCCGGUUUGAGGCACCAGGAGGGCCAACGAGAGGGGGGACUGGACUCUCCCCUCCAUCCGGUCAGCCACCUGUGGCCAUCAGCCCAGCUGACACCAGGAGAACCCUGGCCAAGAUCAACCCUUGGAAAGCAGCCGGCCCGGACAACGUUCCGGGGAGGGCGCUCCAAGCCUGUGCUGAUGAGCUGGCAGAUGUUCUAACAGACAUUUUCAACAUCUCUCUCUGUCAAGCCACUGUACCCAGAUGCUUCAAAACAUCCAUCAUCGUUCCAGUUGCAAAAAAGUCUGUUGUGUCCUGUCUGAAUGACUACCGUCCUGUUGCAUUGACCCCAAUAGUGAUGAAGUGUUUUGAACGGUUAAUCAAACCACACAUCACAUCCAGCCUACCUGCAUCACUGGAUCCUCAUCAGUAUGCCUACCGUUCAAACCGUUCCACAGAGGAUGCAAUAUCCACCACCCUGCAUACAGUACUCACCCAUCUAGAACAGAGAGACACCUAUGCUAGAAUACUGUAUGUUGACUUCAGCUCUGCAUUUAACACCGUCUUGCCACAGAGACUGAUGGAUAAACUUCUCCUCCUGGGCCUAAACCCCACCCUCUGUCACUGGAUACUGGAUUUCCUGUUGGAGCGACCACAGUCAGUUCGUGUUGGGAAAAAAAUCUCCAAAUCCAUCACACUGAGUACAGGAUCCCCCCCAGGGAUGUGUGCUCAGUCCUCUGCUGUACACGCUGCUGACCCAUGA
rnacentral:lncRNA from 1 species